rnacentral:rRNA from 1 species
GACGAACGCUGGCGGCGUGCUUAACACAUGCAAGUCGAACGGAAAGGCCCUGCUUUUGUGGGGUGCUCGAGUGGCGAACGGGUGAGUAACACGUGAGUAACCUGCCCUUUACUUUGGGAUAACUUCAGGAAACUGGUGCUAAUACCGGAUAGGAGCUCCUGCUGCAUGGUGGGGGUUGGAAAGUUUCUGAGGUUGGGGAUGGACUCGCGGCUUAUCAGCUUGUUUGUGGGGUAGUGGCUUACCAAGGCUUUGACGGGUAGCCGGCCUGAGAGGGUGACCGGCAACAUUGGGACUGAGAUACGGCACAGAAGCCUACGGGAGGCAGCAGUGGGGAAUAUUGCACAAUGGGCGGAAGCCUGAUGCAGCAACGCCGCGUGCGGGAUGACGGCCUUCGGGUUGUAAACCGCUUUCGCAUGUGACGAAGCGUGAGUGACGGUAAUGGGUAAAGAAGCACCGGCUAACUACGUG